rnacentral:rRNA from 2 species
UACUAAUGGGGGGCUUGCUUAAUACAUGCAGUCGAGCGAACUGAUUAGAAGCUUGCUUCUAUGACGUUAGCGGCGGACGGGUGAGUAACACGUGGGCAACCUGCCUGUAAGACUGGGAUAACUUCGGGAAACCGAAGCUAAUACCGGAUAGGAUCUUCUCCUUCAUGGGAGAUGAUUGAAAGAUGGUUUCGGCUAUCACUUACAGAUGGGCCCGCGGUGCAUUAGCUAGUUGGUGAGGUAACGGCUCACCAAGGCAACGAUGCAUAGCCGACCUGAGAGGGUGAUCGGCCACACUGGGACUGAGACACGGCCCAGACUCCUACGGGAGGCAGCAGUAGGGAAUCUUCCGCAAUGGACGAAAGUCUGACGGAGCAACGCCGCGUGAGUGAUGAAGGCUUUCGGGUCGUAAAACUCUGUUGUUAGGGAAGAACAAGUACGAGAGUAACUGCUCGUACCUUGACGGUACCUAACCAGAAAGCCACGGCUAACUACGUGCCAGCAGCCGCGGUAAUACGUAGGUGGCAAGCGUUAUCCGGAAUUAUUGGGCGUAAAGCGCGCGCAGGCGGUUUCUUAAGUCUGAUGUGAAAGCCCACGGCUCAACCGUGGAGGGUCAUUGGAAACUGGGGAACUUGAGUGCAGAAGAGAAAAGCGGAAUUCCACGUGUAGCGGUGAAAUGCGUAGAGAUGUGGAGGAACACCAGUGGCGAAUGCGGCUUUUUGGUCUGUAACUGACGCUGAGGCGCGAAAGCGUGGGGAGCAAACAGGAUUAGAUACCCUGGUAGUCCACGCCGUAAACGAUGAGUGCUAAGUGUUAGAGGGUUUCCGCCCUUUAGUGCUGCAGCUACGCAUUAAGCACUCCGCUGGGGAGUACGUCGCAAGACUGAACUCAAGGAUGACGGGGUCCGCACAAGCGGUGGGCAUGUGGUUAAUUCGAGCACGCGAAGACUACAAGCUUGACAUCUCUGACACUCUAAGAUAGACGUCCUUCAGGACAAAUGACAGUGGCCAUGUGUCUCACUCUGUCUGAGUGUAAUCCGCAAGCAACAUGACUAUGGCAUAUGGACCUAGGAUCCGUCAACCGUGAAAGU